UAUAAUUAAAGUGCACCAGCUAGAAAGGCAGAGCCAGUUUCAUUUGGCUCUGUACUACUGUGAAAUAAAUUGUCUGCAUUGUUUAACUUUUUUUUUUUAAUUAGUUUUCCCUGGACGGGAGUUUGCUCUCAGAAACGCUGGGGGCAAAGAACACCGCGGUGCCUGGCCCCGGAAGCCCUCGGGGACGGGCGUCUCUGGUGACCGGCCACCCGAGACGGGAAAUGCGCGCUCACCUGGACAGCGCGGCUCAGCGGCACAGAAUGCUGUCGCCCUGCUUGUUCACCGCGCCGGCCUGGAACAGCAACCGAACACCAAGGGAAAGGUUAGCAGGCGCAAACAACGCGCUCGACACGGUCCUGGAUUGUCCUCGGAAAUCAGGCUGGCGCGCCGACGCCCCCACCCCAGCCUGUAGCCGGGGGGGCCCCUCCGGGCUCAGGCGGGACUUGACAGCCCAGGGCGCCCACAGCCCC
rnacentral:lncRNA from 1 species